CCCAGUACAGUCCCACCAUUUCACGGCCACAAGGCCUUUCCUCACGGCAACAACCCCAUCCCUAUCUGCUACUCCACCCUCAUUGGCGUCCUCGACGCUCGUUGUUUCUGUCAUCGUUCCACCAUAUACAGCAGGUAGUCGCUCCGACGUAGAGUACAAGUGCUUCGUCGGAGGGUUCGAAUAGGCUACUGACGAGCAUCCCCAGCUUCGGCUUUCAGCCCUUACGGCAAGACUAUCGAAUCGAAGGUCCAUUUUGGUUCGUCGUAGAGAUCGAAUCUGCUCCAACUCGCUGGUGAUCCAGGUAGGCGAGCAGACCAGGCUCGAAGAUAGAGGGGUGUCUGUAGUGCCCUGUCAGAGAGUGAGUGCAUUUUUGGGGAGUGUUUUUGUAUAUCCCAGUAUAGUUGAGGGAAUUUUUGAAAAACAGAUAUAUGUGUAUAUUUUUUGGAAUAUGGUAGUACUCUGGUAUUGGUUUUGGUAUUGUAUGUAAUGAUUUAUGGUUAUGUUU